GAACGAUGAAGCCGGGGCUUGCUCUGGUGGAUUAGUGGCGAACGGGUGAGUAACACGUGAGCAACCUGCCCUGGACUCUGGGAUAAGCGCUGGAAACGGCGUCUAAUACUGGAUACGAGACGUGGCCGCAUGGUCAACGUUUGGAAAGAUUUUUCGGUCUGGGAUGGGCUCGCGGCCUAUCAGCUUGUUGGUGAGGUAAUGGCUCACCAAGGCGUCGACGGGUAGCCGGCCUGAGAGGGUGACCGGCCACACUGGGACUGAGACACGGCCCAGACUCCUACGGGAGGCAGCAGUGGGGAAUAUUGCACAAUGGGCGGAAGCCUGAUGCAGCAACGCCGCGUGAGGGAUGACGGCCUUCGGGUUGUAAACCUCUUUUAGCAGGGAAGAAGCGAAAGUGACGGUACCUGCAGAAAAAGCGCCGGCUAACUACGUGCCAGCAGCCGCGGUAAUACGUAGGGCGCAAGCGUUAUCCGGAAUUAUUGGGCGUAAAGAGCUCGUAGGCGGUUUGUCGCGUCUGCUGUGAAAUCCCGAGGCUCAACCUCGGGCCUGCAGUGGGUACGGGCAGACUAGAGUGCGGUAGGGGAGAUUGGAAUUCCUGGUGUAGCGGUGGAAUGCGCAGAUAUCAGGAGGAACACCGAUGGCGAAGGCAGAUCUCUGGGCCGUAACUGACGCUGAGGAGCGAAAGGGUGGGGAGCAAACAGGCUUAGAUACCCUGGUAGUCCACCCCGUAAACGUUGGGAACUAGUUGUGGGGUCCUUUCCACGGAUUCCGUGACGCAGCUAACGCAUUAAGUUCCCCGCCUGGGGAGUAC
rnacentral:rRNA from 1 species